UUUCCUUGUGAUUGGUUCGUUUAUGUUGCUGAUACUCUGAAGUUUUCCAUGGGGAAAUAGUGAGUAUAGGAAAUGAGAGAUAAGAUAGUUAAAAAAAAAAAAAAAAAUUAUUCUUCUGAUGUUUCAGAUAGCAGCUCAGCUACCUCUGUAGACAAAAGGCCAUCUUGAACAGGCACACACCUGAUUACCUUUCCCUAAUGAGAUAGGGUGAAACUGAACUGUAAAGAUCAUGUGGGAUUUGAACUGGCAUUGCUGUCUUGACUCUUUCUUCCUUGGCCUGGACCAAAACAGAAGGCAGCAUCAUUCUCUCCACAAAUGGAUACUGUGGCUCUUGCCAAAGCUGGAAAAUGAAGCUGGUAUUAGGAGGAGCAGGUUUUGAAAUGAGUCAAGCUUUAUUGGUGCAGCAUGAAAGGUGAAGACUGAAAAGAAUGGACUAAAAUGCACUUCGGAGAGCAGAUUUAGAUGCAUCAUUCCCAAGGGAUUUCUGCUUUCUUUGCAAGGAAAGACUAUCAGAGGAUAUCAGAGCUACAGAACUGAGAAGUUACAAGAGGAAAAAAAGCUUUUCUGACCACAUACUUAGGCCUUAAAAGCAUGUUACUUUUAAACCAUGUAUUAAGAUGUCAGUACCUGCAUAGACAAGUACAUCUGUACAUCUGUCUAGUAGGUUUACAUACUUUCCCAGAUUUCUUGGAAUAGAAGAACAGAAAGCUAGCAUUAUUGUUGUGCACAAAAAAUGGAUGAAAUAUCUAUCUGUUGUCACAAACUGCCCUUGGUCAUCAUGACUUUGUUUGUGGAUUUUUGUUUCCGGAGAUUGCUACAGAAUCCUAAUGCUAAGGUCAUCGCUCCCAACUAUUGUGGCAGCUGAAGGAGUGUUGGAAAGGAAUCCUGGAAAGAAAUCAGCUGUUGAUAAAGAGCUUCUUAGAUAACUGUUUUCUAAUUAUAUUUCUUCCAAAUCUUUACUCCAAGUCUAUAAGACCAGAAACUUCUCAGUGUUUAACAAGGGGAAAAAAAAAUCGGCUUCUAUCUAAUUUUCUCCUGAAAUUAAACCUUUUUUCUUUUAAACAAGUAAUGUCAUUUUGUUUCUUUGUUUUAUACGGGAGAGAUUUUUACUUGAUAAAAUUAAUUUUACUGUUCCAGUCAUUAAUACAUUCCUAGUUUAGUUUAACAAGAAAGCAAGCACUUCACCACUCCUAAAAACAAUAGAGUAAUAUUUGUUAGCGAGAAAUGAAUCAGCUGAUUAUCAUUCUAACAGCCUCUGCUUGUGUUUGUUUUUUUUGUUGUUGUUUUUUGUUUUUUGUUUUUUUUACAAAAACUCUACCCCAACAUCUGUUAGGCUACAGAUUUCAUGUCCCGUCUCACAGGAAAAAUAGACAGAUUUGAGAUUCAAAUCCACUUUAAGCAAGGAAAGUAAGUUUUUUAAAUCAGACACUUAAUUGGAUGAACUCUGAGCUAUUACAGUCAGACACUGAAAUUAUUUGAAUGGUAAAUUCAAAUCCUAUAGAAGGGAAGACAGGUCAUGUGGUGCAUUGAAACAGUUCAUGUUGUACAGGAAACUAAGUCUUUGUGUGUGUUGAGCUGAUCUUCAGAAGAUCUACAUUCACUGUCUUCAUAUAAUUUCUAGAUUUUGUAUGUGGGAUUCUUUUUCUUUUGCUGACUUUGAUCAUAAGUGUUCUUUAAUACUUCAUGUCUCUUGUGAUUAUGAUAGCAAUAGUAGCAUUGAAGAACAAGAAGAUGCACUUAUCUUCUUCUGGCAGAUCUUUUUUUAAUCAGAAUUCUGUAUAAAUGGAAAAUUUAAACAUAUACAGAUCAAGUUAUUGGAUUUAUAUAGAGCCAUGUAGUUUUGAAAUAACUCAUUAAUAAAAGAACUGUGUG